rnacentral:lncRNA from 1 species
UAUCUAAGACAUUUCUGAAUAACCUGGUGAUAAAUUAUCCCUGUUGUACGGCUCUGCUGGAGAAGCUGGGGAGGGAUCUCCCAGAUUUUAUUUAUGAAAGGGAAAAGAAACAUUUCACAUUCUCAAGUUUUUACCUCUGUUCUCUGUCCUAGAUGAAGGCAACCUUAUAAGACCUACUUUAAGAAGUUAGCUAAUGAGAACUACACUGCGACUUCAGCAUGUCAACCAGGAUUACUGGUUAUAACUGUGCUGAAACCAAUGGACUGACUAUGACUUCUAUAGCUGAGUCUGUGAUACAGUCCCAGAUUCAGCACACACAGAGAAACGCACACUCUGCUUCUGCGCUGGAGCCUCGCAAGCCCUGAACCAGCCGGCAUGAGGAGGAAGUGAAGCUAUUCAAAUACGUCUCCCUUUCAACCAAAGAAUAACAUAUGCAAGAGAAACUUGUGAAAGUAACAAGUGA